rnacentral:rRNA from 1 species
CGUACACUCCUGCGGGAGGCAGCAGUGGGGAAUAUUGCACAAUGGGCGCAAGCCUGAUGCAGCGACGCCGCGUGGGGGAUGAAGGCCUUCGGGUUGUAAACUCCUUUCGCUAGGGACGAAGCUUUUUUGUGACGGUACCUAGAUAAGAAGCACCGGCUAACUACGUGCCAGCAGCCGCGGUAAUACGGAGGGUGCGAGCGUUGUCCGGAAUUACUGGGCGUAAAGGGCUCGUAGGUGGUUUGUCGCGUCGUCUGUGAAAUUCUGGGGCUUAACUCCGGGCGUGCAGGCGAUACGGGCAUAACUUGAGUGCUGUAGGGGUAACUGGAAUUCCUGGUGUAGCGGUGAAAUGCGCAGAUAUCAGGAGGAACACCGAUGGCGAAGGCAGGUUACUGGGCAGUUACUGACGCUGAGGAGCGAAAGCAUGGGUAGCGAACAGGAUUAGAUACCCCUGUAGUCCCAUGA